rnacentral:tRNA from 1 species
UAGCAGCAGCACGGCACCCAGUCCCCUGCGAUCAUCCCAUCCACCACCACCGACCCACCAACUCGCCUGCUGCGACAGUGCUGCGACGCAGAGCACACACAUACCCCUCCCCCACCCCCUCUCCAUACAUACACACACACACAUACGCCAUCCCUCUCUACCGGCAAGGUAUUGACGGGUAUAUCUCGCCUCUUUCGCUUCGCCUCCCCUCCCCUUCCUUUUCGGUUUCUGUUGCGUCGUUGCUACUAGCGUUUGUGUUGCAUGUUCUGCCCCGCCUCUUGCUCUCCCUCGAUCACCACCACCAUCACCAGCGCACGCACACACUCUCCAUCCCUCUUAUGGUUUGCUCUGUGCCCUGUCGUUGCUGGUCCACCCACGCGCAGACGCCACAGAUUCGUGCUCGCAUCCCGUCUUUCCCCCCUCCCACCCCCCCCACCUCUCUCUCUCUGCCUUCAUCGGCGCACUGCUUUUCUCUUCACCGUUUCACGCGCAUCGUCGAACCUCACCGUCAUCGCAGCACUGAGUGCUGUCCCCUACUGCGUCUGCCGUUGCGUUCCCCUGUAGAUCGGCGUGGCUCAUCGUGAUCACCAGCACCAUGCACCUUCUUGUUGAUGGCGACUAUUUACUCAGCGGCUUCCGGCCCACCUCGGAGGAGGAAGUGAAGGCGGCGGUGGAGCGGCUCAUGACGGCGAUUGAGCAACAGCUGCUGCAGCCAGUUGGUGCCGACACCGCAGUGACGGCCCUUGUCUCCCGUAUAAUCUUCUUCUCCUCUGCGCUCAUUAAAGGGCUCGAGGAGGGGCCGCGCAUGUUCGUCAUCUCCACCCUGCGUCGCCUGCGCUUCCAGACGCACGUGCUGGAGAGCAUCCACGGCCGCCCCGGCACCCCGGUUGACGCCGCGUUGUGCACGAAGCUGCUGCAGUUGUCGCUGCUGCCCACCGGAGGAGGCGGCUUCAGCGGCGGUAACAGCGCUGUCGCCCCACAUGGCCACGGGGCGCUUGCCUUCUGUCUUGUAACGCCCAACGCAUACCUCUCCACAGCGAUGGAGCUGAUCGCUUCGCGGGAGAGUGGCGAGAUUGUGUUUGCCGUGUACGAGGGCGAUGAGGUGGCCGAGGAACUGCUCGGCUACGCGUCAGCGCGGUACGGCACAACAGGCGGCGUGGCGACAAUGGCGAAGCACGACGGCGUCACGUUUCUGCCUAGCACAGAGGCCGCUGUUGCUGCCUUGGCGCUGGUGCAGCAGCAGGAGAAGGGCAACCUGUCCGUCUCCGCGCUGACAGAGCUAAAGGCGCUUCAGAUGCGCCUGCAGCAGCAGAAGCCGACCACCGGCACCGGUGCAACGGUCGUGAUGCCGAAAGCAUCGACAGCCGCCGCUGUGGCCCCACCUCCGGCGCCCAGGGUGCCUGAAUUGUUUGCGCCACCCAACGGGCCACAGCCGGCGGCGGCAACCUCUCAAAGUAGCAGCAACGCUUCCUCCAGCGGCAUCGCCGACAAGGACCAGGCGAGCGUGCCGGCACUGCCCUUCACCGCCUCUGCAGCAACAGCAACAGCAACAGCAACAGCUGCGCCCUCAUUCUUUGAGACAGGCCUGCUGCACACCGUCACUACCACCACGUCCCCACCGGUGGUGGUGCAGCACGCCUCACCGCCAUCAGCGAUGCCGCCACCGUUGAGCACAUCACCCCUCUCUACCGCCAACGGUGUCGCGGGCGUGGCGGCGUCUCUUGGUGAGCCGAUGGUGUCCACUACCCUGCCAGUCGAGUGGGCCCUCGUCUACGAUGCAGCGCGGCAGCGUCACUACUACGCGUACACGGACACAACAGGGCGGACGCGUUCGACGUGGCAGCACCCGCUGGGGCCACAGAAGCAGUUGGAGCUGGAGGAGCAGGUGCAGGCGUGGCGCGCGGCGCAACUGCAGCCGCAGCUGAACAGUGCGCUACCGGACGGCUGGGAGGAGCGCACGGACCCGCAGACCAGGCGCACCUUUUACGUUGACCACAAAUCGAAGACGACGACGUGGGAGCGUCCACAGCCGAGUGUCGCGGCCCCGCCAAGCGUCGCGAACGUCAGCUCCCAUGCCAGUGGCGGUGGCGCGAUGGCGCUGCCGGCGAUGUGGGAGGCCCGCGUGGACCCUCGCACGGGUCGGACCUUCUACAUCAACCACGAAACCAAGACGACGUCGUGGGAGCGGCCGGCAGUGGCGCCCACACCGCUGCCCGCGGUGCGGCCGUCUAGCGGAAACGUUGAGGCUUGCGGUGACGGCGACUGGGUGCCGUGCGUCGACCCUGCCACCGGCCGCACCUUCUACGUCAAUGACAAGACGCGGCAGACGAGCUGGACCAGGCCAAAGCCGGCGGUACAGGCGCCCCCACCACCGACACCGCCGAACGCGCCAUCGCCGAUGCAGAGUGGGGCGGUUGCGCUGCCGCCACCGUGGGAGGCGCGUGUCGAUCCCGGCACUGGUCGCACCUUCUACAUCAACCACGCCACCAAGACGACCUCGUGGGAACGGCCGACGGUUUGAGCGGCUGCACGACCUCACCGCGCUGCGUGAUUACUCGAGUCUCUUCUUCCGUUCUCUUACGAUGUGUUGCUCCUGUAUGCCCUCGCUGUUGCACCGACACGGCGACGCCUAGGCGUCCCGUGGCAUUGAAAGAGUACGAGAGUCCCCGGCCCCCCCUCCCGUGACCAAGCGCACGCCACACACACACAUGCCGCAAGCGGUGUGCGUCACGCGCGCCCGUACUUGAAGGGCGCCGAUGCGACACACACCGUGCACAGAACCAUGCGGCCAGCCACGCCCACAACACCCCCCAAAAAACCCCCCCCAACCUCUCGCCGGAAAGGCCCUCGGUGCCAGCACACGCCAGCCUAACCCCCGCUUAGGCCUGGUCGGGCGUCGGCGGUAGGGGAGGGGCCAUGCCGCACAUCCCGGGCGCCGUUUCAACGAGCGCUCCUAUAGUGUAGCGGUUAUCACCUCGGACUCUGAAUCCGAUAACCCUGGUUCGAGUCCAGGUAGGAGUGACUUUUUCCCUGAGCACCUCGGCAGCGCAUGGAGGAGGGAUGUGUGUAGAAAAAAGCGUGCGGAGGUGAGAGCGUGUCUUUUUUUUUCUGUGGUGUACGUCGCGUUGGACAGAGAUGGAUGGCGCCAACCCGACAGAGAA